CACACGUGCUACAAUGGCCGGUACAAUGAGCUGCGAUACCGUGAGGUGGAGCGAAUCUCAAAAAGCCGGUCUCAGUUCGGAUUGGGGUCUGCAACUCGACCCCAUGAAGUCGGAGUCGCUAGUAAUCGCAGAUCAGCAUUGCUGCGGUGAAUACGUUCCCGGGCCUUGUACACACCGCCCGUCACGUCACGAAAGUCGGUAACACCCGAAGCCGGUGGCCCAACCCUUGUGGAGGGAGCUGUCGAAGGUGGGACUGGCGAUUGGGACGAAGUCGUAACAAGGUAGCCGUACCGGAAGGUGCGGCUGGAUCACCUCCUUUCUAAGGAG
rnacentral:rRNA from 1 species